GAUAUUGGUCAAUGGCCUAACGGCUGAACUGGCAACUUGGAGAAGUGGCAAGUCUUCCAGUAUGGGGAGCAAAACAGCUAUGGGUCAAGUCCGAUAUCUUUAGGAGAAGUCUUAUUGUGAGGGCGAGUUAUAUAACACCAUAGGACUGGCCGUCCCAUAUGAAAAGAUUAUAUUAGAAUUGAAUGAAGCUUUGUUUAUAUAUUGAUAAUGACAGUAUAUAUAUCGUGUCUUGACUAAUUGCGUGCCAGCAGUCGCGGUAAUACGUAAGAGACUAGUGUUAUUCAUCUUAAUUAGGUUUAAAGGGUACCCAGACGGUCAAUAUAGCUUAUAAAAUGUUAGUACUUGACUAGAGUUUUAUGUAAGAGGGCAGUACUUGAGGAGGAGAGAUGAAAUUUCGUGAUACCAAAGGGACUCUGUAAAGGCGAAGGCAGCCCUCUAUGUAAAAACUGACGUUGAAGGACGAAGGCACAGAGAACAAACAGGAUUAGAUACCCAAGUAGUCUUUGCAGUAAAUGAUGAAUGCCAUAGGUUAGAUUGGUCAAUUAUAGUCUAGGGUUAGUCUAGCAAACUAAUACCCUAUGCUAUAAUCCUAAUAUCUGGUCUAUAAAUGAAAGUGUAAGCAUUUCACCUCAAGAGUAAUGUGGCAACGCAGGAACUGAAAUCACUAGACCGUUUCUGACACCAGUAGUGAAGUAUGUUAUUUAAUUCAA
rnacentral:rRNA from 1 species